UUAGAGUUUGAUCCUGGCUCAUAGAUGAACGUUAGCGGCAGGCUUAACACAUGCAAGUCGAGGGGCAGCCAUGAUGUAUCAAUACAUUGGCGGCGACCGGCGCACGGGUGAGUAACACGUAUGGAACCUGCCCUUUACUGGGAGAUAACCCGGAGAAAUCCGGACUAAUAUCCCAUAACAAGUCGGGGUGGCAUCACCUUGCUUUGAAAGCUCCGGCGGUAAAGGAUGGCCAUGCGCCCGAUUAGCUGGUUGGUGGGGUAACGGCCCACCAAGGCGACGAUCGGUAGGGGGCCUGAGAGGGUUAUCCCCCACACUGGUACUGAGACACGGACCAGACUCCUACGGGAGGCAGCAGUGAGGAAUAUUGCGCAAUGGAGGCAACUCUGACGCAGCCAUGCCGCGUGCAGGAAGAAGGCGCCUACGCGUUGUAAACUGCUUUUAUCCGGGAAGAAACCCCUCCCACGCGUGGAGGGUUGACGGUACCCGGAGAAUAAGCACCGGCUAACUUCUUG
rnacentral:rRNA from 1 species